GAUGAACGCUGGCGGCGUGCCUAAUACAUGCAAGUCGAACGAACAGACGAGGCGCUUGCUGCUCUGACGUUAGCGGCGGACGGGUGAGUAACGCGUGUAUAACGUACCUAUCAGACUGGGAUCACUUCGGGAAACCGGAGCUAAUACCGGAUAAUAUAUUGAACCGCAUGGUUCGAUAGUGAAAGACGGUUUUGCGGUCUCUUAUAGCUGGUUCCGCGUCGCAUUAGCUGGUUGGUAAGGUAACGGCUUACCAAGGCGAGGAUGCGUAGCCGACCUGAGAGGGUGAUCGGCCACACUGGAAGUGAGACACGGUCCAGACUCCUACGGGAGGGAGCAGUAGGGAACCGUCCGCAAUGGGCGAGAGCCUUACGGAGCAACGCGGCGUGAGUGAUGAAGGUCUUCGGAUCGUAAAACCCGGUUAUUAGGGAAGAACAAAUGUGUAAGUAACUAUGCACGUCGUGACGGUACCUAAUCAGAAAGCCACGGCUAACUACGUG
rnacentral:rRNA from 1 species